rnacentral:lncRNA from 1 species
AUGAGGGAACAAACAGUCUCUCAACUCUAGGUCUCCAUCACUACCUCCACUACCACUGUCCAAGAAUUCGGCACCACUACCACAACCAUCGGCUUCACCAUCGAUGCUAGAAUUUUUUUCUGCCCUUGAAAGAUUUGGAAGGGCUUGUCAAAGGGUGACCCCCAACAAGUCUCCUCCCCCACCACCAAGAAGGCCGCUAACAACCGUGCCCCUCUCCUAGCAUCCCCCAGCCUCUCUCCACUGACGGCA